rnacentral:rRNA from 1 species
AGAUCAAGCUACAAAGGGCGCACGGUGAAUGCCCUGGCACUAGGAGCCGAUGAAGGACGUGAUAAGCUGCGAUAAGCUACAUGUAGGCGCACACAGCCUGUGAUAUGUAGAUUUCCGAAUGGGGAAACCCAUCUAGUUAUGCUAGAUACUGUAUACCGAAU